CCUACGGGUGGCAGCAGUGGGGAAUAUUGCACAAUGGGGGAAACCCUGAUGCAGCGACGCCGCGUGAGUGAAGAAGUCAUUCGUUUUGUAAAGCUCUAUCAGCAGGGAAGAAAAUGACGGUACCUGAGUAUGAAGCUCCGGCUAACUACGUGACAGCAGCCGCGGUAUUACGUAGGGGGCACGCGUUGUCCGGGUGUACUGGGUGUAAAGGGAGCGUAGACGGGAGUGCAAGACAGGAGUGAAAGGCGGGGGCUCAACCCCAGGACGGCUCUGGAAACUGUACGGCUGGAGUGCAGGAGAGGUAAGUGGAAUUCCUAGUGUAGCGGUGAAAUGCGUAGAUAUUAGGAGGAACACCAGUGGCGAAGGCGGCUUACUGGACUGUAACUGACGUUGAGGCGCGAAAGCGUGGGGAGCAAACAGGAUUAGAUACCCGAGUAGUC
rnacentral:rRNA from 1 species